rnacentral:rRNA from 1 species
ACGCUCGACACCUACGGGAGCAGCAGUAGGGAAUCUUCCACAAUGGGCGCAAGCCUGAUGGAGCAACACCGCGUGAGUGAAGAAGGGUUUCGGCUCGUAAAGCUCUGUUGUUGGAGAAGAACGUGCGUGAGAGUAACUGUUCACGCAGUGACGGUAUCCAACCAGAAAGUCACGGCUAACUGCGUGCCAGCAGCCGCGGUAAUCUGAGCGGGCUGGCAAGGC